rnacentral:rRNA from 1 species
UACGUAGGUGGCAAGCGUUGUCCGGAUUUACUGGGCGUAAAGGGAGCGUAGGUGGAUAUUUAAGUGGGAUGUGAAAUACUCGGGCUUAACCUGGGUGCUGCAUUCCAAACUGGAUAUCUAGGGUGCAGGAGAGGAAAGUAGAAUUCCUAGUGUAGCGGUGAAAUGCGUAGAGAUUAGGAAGAAUACCAGUGGCGAAGGCGACUUUCUGGACUGUAACUGACACUGAGGCUCGAAAGCGUGGGGAGCAAACAGG